UUUACCACCACGGCGCCGUGAGGGCCGCGGGCCGGCAGGGGGCGCCCUGCGCCCGCCGUGCGGGGCUGGCCGAGGGGGAACCUUCUGGAAGGGCCCGGGGCCGGGCCGUGCCCGGGGGACACCGUGCCCACGCGUUCGUGAAGAGCAAGGUCAGUCCCGGGACUGAGAACUUGACUCGGGUGAGACGGUGGAUUUAAUUCCAGCAGUCAGCCCCGCGGCCGGGGCAGAGGGAUAACCGGGGAUGUACCACCGUAAAACAAUCCCGAGGCUUCCCUGGAAGAUCCUGACAGUUUCGGGAAGGCUCUGUUACUUUCCAGUAAUUUCCAGGGUAAAUUGAUCUAUCACCGAGGGAGAAGCCCAGCGCCUCCUGCCCCCGUGGAAAGGGUGCCGAGAGGAAGAGCUGCAGCCCAACGUCGGCUGAAAACCCGGGGUUAAAACCAGAGUAUGUUUGCUCAGCAGGUACCCGAAGGAGUGACCCUGACGUUCGCUCUCCCGUUUUGCUCUGUCGGCCCCUUUGCGUUUGUAGGUGGGCUUUGUGCGUUUGUUCCUCAGAAGUAGUUAUUAUUGCUGUUAGUGAUUGUAGAGACGUAAAAAAGGACGUUAGAAAAAAGUGAAUUCGUAGCCUGCUAGCAGAGAGCACCCCUCGCUCUCCUGGCAAUUGAGAUAAGGGUGUCGAUUGGGGUU